AGAAGGAACAAUCCAGAGGGCCAUUAGUAAGGCUAAAACAAGGUUGAAAGAGGUGUGACUAUACAGUGCUUAAUCAGACCUGGUUUAAUCUGGAAUGCUGCUUGCCCAUCCCACUGUGUACUGAUGCAAUGGACCUUCCAGUCUAUUACUUCACAGUGGAGUAUUUGCUUGGAAGCCUGGAAACUUGGAUUUAAGGAUGAUCAGCACAGUGAUCUGGUACAGUUAUUUUAAACCUUUAAAAGAAGAGGAUGUCACUUCGGUGCAGAAAUUUCCUGUGAUGGGAACAGUGAUGUACUUGGAAUUAUUUUGUAAACUGGAGUCAGUAGGACAGAACAGAAUGCUGACCUAUUAUGUAGUUAGCUACUGCCUGUAAGCUUUCACACAUUCACUUUGGGGUCCUACAAUAAGGUAGAUUAAGUUUGAGGUUUUUUUUUCAUUGGUUGUUUGGGGUUUUUUUGUUAAAUCUGUGAGUGAAAAAAUU
rnacentral:lncRNA from 1 species